rnacentral:lncRNA from 1 species
GAUAAGAAGUUUAAGGUGGAAAUUGAAAAAGUUUUUUCUUGAAUCGAGUCUCGGUGACCUGAGGUUAUUCGAAUGUAUGAGAACAAGUUAGGUAAUGUCUUGUACUCCGCCUCGGCGUGGGUUAUGGGUAUAGGGUGUUAUAGAGUAAAUUUAAUAUCAAUUUAUCACAUUUAAUAUUUGUUUGGACUCAAUUUAUGUCCUAGGCAAAAUUACCAUUUUACCCCUAAUUUUUUCAUAAAUUUCAAUUUUG